UAGCAACCAUGAAAGGACCCAAAGGGGCUCUGUAGCUCUCCAGACAUACCUGGUACCGAGCUGAGCUUUCUCUAAUUACUAAGAAGCUCACUACAAACACUCUGCUAAGCAUCACCUAAGCUACACAUACAUUUUAUUACAAUAGUACAGCAAAGUAUGUUUGAAAAAAGUUAUUCUGGAAAAGAAGAACAAACAAGAUCUAAGAGAGCAAUAUUCUGUAGAUUAUGAAAAUGUGUUUGACUGUACAAACCCAGCUGAAAGCUAUCAAGCCCUGCCAACACACUCAAACUAAUUACUGAUAAAGCUAUUAUGAAGCAUGGAUUAGUAAAGACUUGGAGAAUCCAUCCUGGCAUGAAAGCUCUCCUCACUCUCUUUCAAAGCUUGCCAAGCAAAUGAAUCCACGGAGAUGCAAUUAAAGGCAACAGAAAAAAAAUCUUCUAGGAAAAAACCAACCAUCCAACCAAACACGAAGCCAUAUUUAAAUUUGUUUUAUCAAAUUUUUUACAAAGACAUUUUCCCUCUCCUUCCUCCAGGCUGGUCUCACAGAUAAACAAUUGAAAUGAAUGUAGCACUAUCAGAAGUUUUUCAGACUUUUAUUUCAUUUCAGGUCCGAAAGACAAUUACAGCUCUUCGUGAUUUUUGAUUGAUGAGUGUGAAAAAGGAGAGAGACAAGCCAGAGGAAGAGGAAAUCCAGUGCCUGGGAGUUUCUUUAAUUGCUUCUGUUGGAGUAUAAAAGGCCUGGCUGAGUAAUAUUUCCCAUCCCUAGACAGCACCACAGUAUGAAUAGACAUGCUCUAAAGCACAAGGGACCCAAGAUGCUGCCAGCAACCAGGUGACCAUGCCCUUCUUGUCAUGCAGUCCCAGCCAGGUCCAGCAGCAGAAAACCUAUGGGCUCACACCCUGACACACUUCUUUCCAGAAGGGCUAGCACAUCGCUGCAUUCAGUGCAGCUCAGGGACUGCCAGCAACCAUGCUCAGGAGUAGAUUUCCCAUCCAAGUGCAACUUCUAUGUCAGCCCCUGCACACGCUGCUAGCAGCAACGAUAGAAUCUGGUUUGCAGGGACUGAAGAAAGGACGGCACAAAACAGGCAGAGCUGGCUCUCUGCAAUCAAGGGACCUGGGACUUUGCAAGCAACAAAGUGCUGGCUGUACUACUGCCACCCUGUUUUACCCAAUAACAGACUCUAUGGGUUUCCUCAGCAGGGGCCAUUAGAGCAAGCUUAGUGUGCUAUUGAACAUCAGUGUUAGCUACCUCGCCUGCUGUGUGCCUAAUGGAGAGCAGUCCAAAUCAGCUAAUUUUUACAAACAUCUGUCUGUUGAAUACUUUAUACACAGCAUGGUACCUCUGGAACAGAUGAACAGAUGCAAAUUCUGUCUACAGCAGGCAAAUGCAAAUAGAGUGCUGGAGAGGAUACUCACGAUGUGUGAACAUACUGCUGCUCGGCUGCCUUCUCUUCCAGCAAAAAGCACAUGUGCCUUGCUGCCGCUUAUAGCAGUUAUUUUGGUGCUGCAGGACGGUGGGGAGCAGCACAGAGGCAGCAUGCAUGGAUACAACUGCACGCAUUAGAAGAGGGGAAGAGUUGGAAGGCAAGGGACUGCUUGAACAAGUCCACAAGGAGCUGCAGGAUUCUCCUCCUGUUUGCUCACUUACAAAACAGGUGAAACGGUGCAGCUCCACAUCAGCCUGCAGCUGGUAUCUGAGCCCCUCUCAAACAUCAUUGGCAAAGUACUGUCUGCAAAAACAGACUCAAUGUGGGUUGGAAUUGGGAUGCAUGCUGCACAGAGCUGUCUUGUUCACUAUAGCCAGCUUAAUUCAAGUUCUGUCACGUGAGCUGGGAGAGCUCUUCAGAUGAAAGCUGUCAUUCUUUUUGGCCUUUAAAAUCACAGAAUCAUUUCCAGAACUCUAAAGGAAUACCGGUCCUUUAAAAAGCAAGAGGAAAUUAUAUUUGUCUCCUUGUAAUUGUAAACAUUUCUUAACUGGAAAAUGUUUAAAGCUCUAAGCAAAUGUCCAAAUAGCACAAGACUAAACACAGUCUCUUUGUUCUGGGUUAAAUAGUGAAGCAGAAAUAAAUAGUAAAUGUCUUCUCUUAUUUCAAAAUACUUCUAUGAUAUAUCAGCAUGAGACUCAAGCAGACAUAUAUCAGUGAAGCAGCUGAAGAAUGUUUCAACAAGCAUAAGUUUUCCAGAGAAAUAAACAGAUUUUAACUUCA